GUCCUGGUCGAUUAGUGGUCAAAUCAUCUCGUUGUGGUUUAUCGCUCCGAGAAGCCGAGGGCUCGACUCCCUCCCGGGACA